GGGGGCGACCUGGUUUCGACGUGGAUUGCGAAGCUUGAGGCGCAUGCCGAGGACGUAACUUAACCUCGUAAAAAAUGUUACAAACUUUAUAGAUGCCAACAAAAAACGCAUCGCUGUUAACGACGCAAGCAUGCUUGCGUUAGCCGCCUAAACACCGGCGCAGCACCGCUCACCAACUGGGCUUGUACGGUUGGAUGUUUACGCAAGUAAACUAGGGCGGUCAUAGAUACAAGCUCGCAGGAUGAUCUGCCCGAGAUCAAACUGCUAAACUCAAUAGGGCUCGCUGCUUUAACAUCCUUCCAGCCGGAGGUGAGGCAGUUAAAUCAAAUGACUGGAUAAGCAUGUAGACCCGAUAGUAGAGGGUUCGCGGACGCGGGUUCAAUUCCCGCCGCCUCCA
rnacentral:tmRNA from 1 species